rnacentral:rRNA from 1 species
UGGGGAAUCUUGCACAAUGGGGGCAACCCUGAUGCAGCGACGCCGCGUGAGCGAUGAAGCCCUUCGGGGCGUAAAGCUCUUUCGACCGGAACGAUAAUGACGGUACCGGGAGAAGAAGCUGCGGCUAACUACGUGCCAGCAGCCGCGGUAAUACGUAGGCAGCAAGCGUUGUUCGGAGUUACUGGGCGUAAAGAGUGCGUAGGCGGUCUUCUAAGUUCGGUGUGAAAUCUCCCGGCUUAACUGGGAGGGUGCGCCGAAGACUGGGAAGCUGGAGUGUGGGAAAGGCAGGCGGAAUUCCUGGUGUGGCGGUGAAAUGCGUAGAUAUCAGGAGGAACACCGGCGGUGUAGACGGCUUGCUAGACCAUAACUGACGCUGAGGCACGAAAGCGUGGGUAGCAAACA